AUGUCUCUCCCCAGCUGUCCUGUGUGGGGUGUGGCCGUGGACUGGCCGCUGUGCUUCUGUUGACCUAGCCGGGCAGUAGUGGAGGCAGCCCUGUCUCCUGGUUUUUUAACCUCUGUGAAGCAGGAGCUCUGAGCUGCUUGGCGCUCCCAGGCAGGAGGAGCACAGACAACAAGUGGCGUCCCUCUUAUUUCCCAGAAGGGGUAACAGGGUCUCCCCCACUAAACCGUGCAGGUGUCAGGGGAUAAAAGAAGUGCAAAAGCACAGGCUUGGAGGGGAUGCCUUGUGUUAAGUUGCUUUGCUCCCAUCAGAAUCGAGGAGACGUGGCGCCUGUGGCAGAAGUUUUUAGACGACUAUUCUCGCUUUGAGGACUGGCUCAAGUCAGCUGAGAGGACGGCGGCCUGCCCAAAUUCCUCAGAGGUGUUGUACACGAGUGCCAAAGAGGAACUGAAGAGGUUUGAGGCCUUUCAGCGGCAGAUUCACGAGCGGCUCACUCAGCUGGAGCUCAUCAACAAGCAGUACCGGCGGCUGGCCCGGGAGAACCGCACAGACACGGCCAGCAGGCUGAAGCAGAUGGUCCACGAGGGCAACCAGCGCUGGGACAACCUUCAGAGGCGGGUCACAGCCGUCCUGCGGAGACUCAGGCAUUUCACCAACCAGAGGGAAGAAUUUGAGGGCACCAGGGAGAGCAUUCUGGUGUGGCUCACAGAGAUGGACCUGCAGCUGACCAACGUGGAGCACUUCUCAGAGAGUGACGCCGAUGACAAGAUGCGCCAACUGAAUGGCUUCCAACAGGAAAUUACAUUAAAUACCAACAAGAUUGAUCAGCUCAUUGUGUUUGGGGAGCAGCUGAUUCAGAAGAGCGAGCCCCUGGAUGCUGUGCUGAUUGAGGAUGAGCUGGAGGAACUCCACCGCUACUGCCAGGAGGUGUUUGGAAGGGUCUCCCGGUUCCACCGGCGGCUCACCUCCUGCACUCCGGGCUUGGAAGAUGAAAAGGAGGCCUCUGAGAAUGAAACAGACAUGGAAGACCCCAGAGAAAUCCAGACUGAUUCCUGGCGUAAACGGGGAGAGAGCGAGGAACCGUCAUCUCCUCAGUCCCUGUGUCAUCUAGUGGCCCCGGGGCACGAGCGGUCUGGCUGCGAGACCCCUGUCAGCGUGGACUCCAUCCCCCUGGAGUGGGACCACACAGGCGACGUGGGGGGCUCCUCCUCUCACGAAGAGGACGAGGAGGGCCCAUACUACAGCGCACUGUCAGGUAAAUCCAUUUCGGAUGGCCACUCGUGGCAUGUUCCCGACAGCCCUUCCUGUCCCGAGCAUCACUACAAGCAAAUGGAAGGUGACAGGAAUGUUCCACCUGUUCCCCCUGCGUCCAGCACCCCUUAUAAACCACCCUAUGGAAAGCUACUAUUACCUCCAGGCACGGAUGGUGGCAAAGAAGGCCCGCGAGUCCUGAAUGGCAGCCCACAGCAGGAAGACGGGGGACUGGCCGGUAUCACAGAGCAGCAGUCAGGUGCCUUCGACAGAUGGGAGAUGAUUCAAGCACAGGAGCUUCACAAUAAGCUCAAAAUAAAACAAAAUUUGCAACAGCUGAACUCUGAUAUCAGUGCCAUCACUACUUGGCUGAAAAAAACUGAAGCAGAGCUGGAAAUGUUAAAGAUGGCAAAGCCUCCCUCUGAUAUCCAGGAAAUAGAACUGAGAGUGAAGAGACUGCAGGAGAUACUGAAAGCCUUUGACACUUACAAGGCAUUAGUGGUCUCUGUCAACGUGAGCAGCAAGGAAUUUCUGCAAACCGAGAGCCCCGAAUCCACAGAGCUCCAAAGUAGACUCCGCCAGCUGAGCCUGCUCUGGGAAGCAGCACAGGGCGCAGUGGACAGCUGGAGAGGGGGCUUACGACAGUCGCUCAUGCAGUGCCAGGACUUCCACCAGUUGAGUCAAAAUCUGCUGCUGUGGUUAGCGAGUGCCGAGAACCGGAGGCAGAAGGCUCAUGUCACCGAUCCAAAGGCAGACCCCCGGGCUCUCCUAGAGUGUCAGAGGGAACUAAUGCAACUGGAAAAGGAGCUGGUAGAACGUCAACCUCAAGUGGACAUGUUACAGGAGAUUUCAAACAGCCUUCUCAUUAAGGGAUAUGGAGAAGACUAUAUUGAAGCUGAAGAAAAGGUGCAUGUUAUUGAGAAGAAACUCAAACAGUUACGGGAGCAAGUGUCCCAAGAUUUAAUGGCCUUGCAGGGAACCCAGAACCCAGCCCCACCCCUGCCCAGCUUCGACGAGGUAGACUCGGGGGACCAGCCUCCUGCAACAUCCGUGCCAGCUCCCCGAGCAAAGCAGUUCAGAGCAGUGAGAACUACAGAAGGCGAGGAGGAGACAGAGAGCAGGGUCCCCGGCAGCACACGGCCACAGCGCUCCUUCCUCUCAAGGGUGAUCCGGGCAGCCCUACCCCUGCAGCUGCUCCUCCUGCUGCUGCUGCUCCUGGCCUGCCUGCUGCCCUCCUCCGAAGAAGACUACAGCUGCACUCAGGCCAACAACUUUGCCCGGUCCUUUUACCCCAUGCUGAGGUACACCAAUGGGCCACCCCCCACAUAGAGGGCAUAGCUGGCCACAGUGCUACACCACCUGCCUGAUUGCCAAGGGUGCCCAGCACGUGGCCCCAGACCAAUCUGAGUGACUUAGUGUUGGCAAGGUCCCGGGACCUGUGCAGACUUCUUCUGGGCUUACCCAGCACGGGCUCCCUGGAGCCCAGGGCAGCUUUCAAAUUGUGUUCCUCCCCAGGAGCAGGGAACCUGUGCGGCAGGUGCCCCGGGUAUUUUGGCAGAACUAGUUGAUUCGUUUAGGGAUCUCUGGAAAUGUCAGUUUCCUGAAGAGCCAAGCACUUUGUGAAUUCUGGUUUAUUUGUAAAACAGCAUUAUUAUAAUGUAGGUAUGGUCAAUGAGCAGUGGUGUCCAUCACAUAUAUUAUAGAAGCAAGCGAGCACAUUCCACCCUAGAAAUGGUUCAGAAACUCAUAGGCACCCUUAGCUGAUGGAAACAAUCAUAUUUAAUAUGCUUAGAAUCAGUUUUACUCCAAUCAGCUGGCAAUUUUGAGCUACCGGUUAUACACCAAAAUGUUCUGUUCAGUACCUAGCUCUGCUCUUUUAUAUUGCUUUAAAUUUUUAAAGAAAUUAUAUUGCAUGGAUGUGGUUAUUUGUGCAUAUUUUUUAACAAUGCCCAAUCUGUAUGAAUAAUGUAAACUUCGAUUUUUUUUUAAAAAAAUUAGAUUUUAGCUGGAGCUUUUGACUAAUGUACAGUAAAUGCCAAACUACCGACUUGAUAGGGAUGUUUUUGUAAGUUAAUUUUCUAAGACUUUUUCACAUCCAAAGUGAUGCUUUGGGUUUUAACUGUUUGGCCACGGCGGGGGUGGGGGGCGGGGGUUGGUACAGAAACUUGAAGCUGUUUGUGAUAUGUACAACUCAGAUGUUUCUCAUUAAAAAACAAAAUUAGCC
rnacentral:sRNA from 1 species